rnacentral:rRNA from 1 species
UACGUAGGGUGCGAGCGUUAAUCGGAAUUACUGGGCGUAAAGCGUGCGCAGGCGGUUUUGUAAGCCAGAUGUGAAAGCCCCGGGCUUAACCUGGGAAUGGCAUUUGGGACUGCAAGGCUUGAGUGCGGCAGAGGAGACUGGAAUUCCUGGUGUAGCAGUGAAAUGCGUAGAUAUCAGGAGGAACACCAGCGGCGAAGGCGGCGCUCUGGGCCGGAACUGACGCUGAGGAGCGAAAGUGUGGGUAGCAGACAGG